UCCUUCUCCCACAAAAUCUUCUCAUUGUUUCUUUUUCAUUCCUUCUCCCACAAAAUCUUUUGAUACAAACCGAACCAUAGAUUUCACCAAGUAAACACGCAUGAGUUCCAAGUUUUUUGUUGUUGCAAAUGUACGGAGGAGGCUUACCGCGCUGUGUUGCCCUUCAGGAAGGGCAGCUUGAUCUUCAUCGGAUGCAGGAUCUUCUGCAGCCAAAGGACUGCUGGCCUCAGGUAACUUGGAAGCUUGGUUUUUAAUUUCUAAAGGACAGAUGCUGAGUAGCCUUGCCUUUUUGCUGAUGUUAAACUAUUGUUGGCUACGUUCAAAAUUCAAAUCCCACAGCUCUCAAAAGACAGACAAUGUUUCUCUGCUCCUGUUGCAUGAAAGCUG